CCUACGGGAGGCAGCAGUGGGGAAUAUUGCACAAUGGGGGAAACCCUGAUGCAGCGACGCCGCGUGAGUGAAGAAGUAUUUCGGUAUGUAAAGCUCUAUCAGCAGGGAAGAUAAUGACGGUACCUGACUAAGAAGCCCCGGCUAACUACGUGCCAGCAGCCGCGGUAAUACGUAGGGGGCAAGCGUUAUCCGGAUUUACUGGGUGUAAAGGGAGCGUAGGUGGCAGGGCAAGUCAGAUGUGAAAACCCGGGGCUCAACCCUGUCGAGCCGUCGGAACUGGCAGUCUUGAGUGGGCGAGAAGUAUGCGGAAUGCGUGGUGUAGCGGUGAAAUGCAUAGAUAUCACGCAGAACGCCGAUUGCGAAGGCAGCAUACCGGCACCCAACUGACGCUGAGGCACGAAAGCGUGGGGAUCGAACAGGAUUAGAUACCCCGGUAGUC
rnacentral:rRNA from 1 species